GACGAACGCUGGCGGCGUGCUUAACACAUGCAAGUCGAACGGAAAGGCCCUGCUUUUGUGGGGUGCUCGAGUGGCGAACGGGUGAGUAACACGUGAGUAACCUGCCCUUGACUUUGGGAUAACUUCAGGAAACUGGGGCUAAUACCGGAUAGGAGCUCCUGCUGCAUGGUGGGGGUUGGAAAGUUUCGGCGGUUGGGGAUGGACUCGCGGCUUAUCAGCUUGUUGGUGGGGUAGUGGCUUACCAAGGCUUUGACGGGUAGCCGGCCUGAGAGGGUGAACGGCCACCUUGGGACUGAGAUACGGCCCAGACUCCUACGGGAGGCAGCAGUGGGGAAUCUUGCACAAUGGGCGGAAGCCUGAUGCAGCAACGCCGCGUGCGGGAUGACGGCCUUCGGGUUGUAAACCGCUUUCGCCUGUGACGAAGCGUGAGUGACGGUAAUGGGUAAAGAAGCACCGGCUAACUACGUG
rnacentral:rRNA from 1 species